AUGCAUAAAAAGAUCACUUUGGAUUCCAUUGCUUGGAAUCGGUGGCAUAGACGGCAACAUUACCACCAGAUACUGGGCAGUUACGAGUGUUUGACUCUUGCCCAGAGGAGCCACUGCGAGAACCAACUGAAGCGAAGGCCAGGGCGUGGCAAAGGACGGAGCCAGUGGCCAACAGGCCGUGUUCGCCGAGAGGAGCCCCCAGUUGGACUUUGUGAAAUCCACUUUCUGCCCAUGGCAGUCACAGUGCAGGACCCAAAACAUCUGCAAAAAUUGCACUGUGUGGGUGGGUGCCUGGGCUGGGGAGUUGGAAUUAACCAGAGAGUCCCUGCUUUGUGGGAGGUUCAUCCAGCUCCCAGUCUUUUUUUGGGGGGGGGUCACUCCACUGUUUCUGCUAAAAUCUUCAAAGCUUGGAAAUUUCCUUUUUUUAUGGCAGUGGGGUAAUUGGCAAUUCAAAGAGUUGUAGUCAAGAUAGUAAGUUCUCCCAUUUCUGAUAGUAAGUUCUUCCAGUUGCUGGAUCCCACAGUGAUUUUCCUUUUUUUUGGGGGGGGGGAAUGGUCAUUGCAGGAAGGAAAGAAGAAAGUAAAAGCUACACAGGGAUCUUCCCCAUCCUAAGCAUUCAGUGAGGUUUGAGAUCUGACUUAACCGUAAUUGUCAUCUAGGGUUAGCUUCCGCUUUGGGGGUCUGGGGUGUCAAAAGACAGUAAGUGAGUAAAGGUGCAGGAUGGGACACAGUGGUAAGUAAGUGCAAAGAGAGAGGCUCACGGGAUUGACUGCAGGCACUGAGAAUAUGGCCAUUCUCUCACUGCCCUGAGUUGCCCUUGACCCUACCUCAUUCCAGGUAACCUUUGCUUGUUUCAUACACCCAUGCCAAACUCUUGAGUACUCCUCUCCUGCCGCACUUCCUUCCUUUCACAGAUCUCCGUGGAUACAGUCCGUGCCCACAGCCUCUGCCCCUUGUUGGCUCUGGUUCCACAGCAGCUUAUUGUGAGCUCAACAAGAAUACCCGCCGGUGCCAUCGCCAGCAGCUUCCGAUGUACAAGUCAUGCCGCCUGUAUCAGACAUGUGAUCACGCUGUGCUGAUUGCAGGUGUGGCCUUUGGAAUGGAGGGUAGGGUGGAGGAGCUAUUAGGUUGUGUGGAUGCACAACUGGAACAAGAAGGAGAUGGAGAUUUCAGCCUGUGGCUCCAGGGCAAGCAGUGUCUUGGGGAAGUGUGAAUCAAAUCACUGGCUGAUCUGUAGGGUCCCUGUCUUGCAUGGCAGGGUUCGUACUACACGAUUGCCUCUUCUUCCUUGACCUUUUGCAGCCAGAGUCAGUCCCUCCAGUUCACCGUGUUGC
rnacentral:lncRNA from 1 species